rnacentral:rRNA from 1 species
AACGUAGGAGGCAAGCGUUAUCCGGAUUUACUGGGCGUAAAGUGUGCGCAGGCGGCUGAGCAAGUCGAGUGUGAAAGCCCCGGGCUUAACUUGGGAAUUGCGCUCGAAACUACUUGGCUUGAGUGUGGCAGAGGAAGGUGGAAUUCCACGUGUAGCGGUGAAAUGCGUAGAGAUGUGGAGGAACACCGAUGGCGAAGGCAGCCUUCUGGGCCAACACUGACGCUCAUGCACGAAAGCGUGGGGAGCAAACAGG